GCUAGCAAUGGCUACGGGGAUGAGAAGGGAUGGAGAAGGGUAGGCUUGCGAGGGUCCCAAGCUCCCCAGGGUGAUCAGAAGACCAGGCCUCCCAUCAGCCAGCCAGUGGAGGCUAUUUGGAAGCCCCUCAGCUCAACUGAGGAGCCAGAGGCCCCUCCAGGCUGCCAGGAUCCAAGGAAGGCAGGAUGAAUCUCCCGCACAGUGGGAAGCAAC
rnacentral:lncRNA from 1 species